rnacentral:rRNA from 1 species
CUAUGGCCAUACCACCCUGAACGCGCCCGAUCUCGUCUGAUCUCGGAAGCUAAGCAGGGUCGGGCCUGGUUAGUACUUGGAUGGGAAAGGUCAAUCUUUGAAGGACUAUAAUGUGUCCAAUAGA